rnacentral:rRNA from 1 species
UACAGAGGGGGCAAGCGUUGUUCGGAAUUACUGGGCGUAAAGGGCGCGUAGGCGGCCUUCUAAGUCGAACGUGAAAUCCCCGGGCUCAACCCGGGAACUGCGUCCGAUACUGGAAGGCUUGAAUCCGGGAGAGGGAUGUGGAAUUCCAGGUGUAGCGGUGAAAUGCGUAGAUAUCUGGAGGAACACCGGUGGCGAAGGCGCCUUGCUGGCCAAUUUCUGACGCUGAGGCGCGAAAGCGUGGGGAGCAAACAGG